rnacentral:rRNA from 1 species
AGCUUANCAUGCAAGUCGGUACGAGAGUUUUUAACUCAAGUGGCGGACGGGNGAGNAANANGNNNNNNNNNUGCCUUUAGGAGGGGGACAACAACUGGNAAANGGUUNNGGAAUACCCCAUAUGCUUUCGAGUGAAAUGGUUUUUCCGCCUAAAGAAAAGCUUGCGGCUGAUUAGCUUGUUGGUAAGGUAAUGGCUUACCAAGGCGACGAUCAGUAUCUGGUUUGAGAGGACGAUCAGACACACUGGAACUGAGACACGGUCCAGACUCCUACGGGAGGCAGCAGUGGGGAAUUUUCCGCAAUGGGCGAAAGCCUGACGGAGCAAUACCGCGUGAGGGAUGAAUGCCUAUGGGUUGUAAACCUCUUUUUUCAGGGAGGAAUAAAAUGACGUGUANCUNNNGAAUAAGCAUCGGCUAACUCCGUGCCAGCAGCCGCGGNAAGACGGAGGAUGCAAGUGUUAUCCGGAAUCACUGGGCGUAAAGCGUCUGUAGGUGGUUUAAUAAGUCAACUGUUAAAUCUUGAGGCUCAACCUCGAAACCGCAGUCGAAACUAUUAGACUAGAGUAUAGUAGGGGUAAAGGGAAUUUCCAGNGGAGCGGUGAAAUGCGUAGAGAUUGGAAAGAACACCGAUGGCGAAGGC